UACAGAGGGGGCAAGCGUUAUUCGGAAUUACUGGGCGUAAAGGGCUCGUAGGCGGCCAACUAAGUCAGACGUGAAAUCCCUCGGCUUAACCGGGGAACUGCGUCUGAUACUGGAUGGCUUGAGUUUGGGAGAGGGAUGCGGAAUUCCAGGUGUAGCGGUGAAAUGCGUAGAUAUCUGGAGGAACACCGGUGGCGAAGGCGGCAUCCUGGACCAACACUGACGCUGAGGAGCGAAAGCCAGGGGAGCAAACGGG
rnacentral:rRNA from 1 species